rnacentral:lncRNA from 1 species
GUCAUGCCAACUCCCGCAGACAAUGGCUGCUUUGUCCAGAAGAGAUGAUUUAGAUGACAACCUGGCUUAAACCUCAGAAACCUUCAAUCUCUCCUUCUUCAAACAGUUUUUAUUAGACGGAUGGCUGUGAAAAAUGAUGUCCUUAUGCACAAAGCCACCGCGUUUCACUGCGAUGUUCACCUGGACAUCCUCCGGACACAAAACCAGGCAACAAAAUCAGGAUGCAACAAGAUGGAGGGGCAAAGCACAGAAGAGGAGUGGGCCCUGCCGUAGGUGAGGGUUGGCAUCCUCUUACACCUGCCGCUUCAUGCUUGAGCUCAGGAUGGUGAUGAGUCCAAUCUUGUGCAUGUCUCAUACACAGAAGACCAGCAGCUGCAAGCUCAAGAACAAAACGGCCACAUCAUGCACAGAAGGCAGUGCCCCAUGAUAGAUGCUACAUUUCUUUCUCAGACACCCACUCUGAGAAAACACUUGACUUUCACUGGCCAUGAGAACCAUCUGGAUUCUGGUGAUAACUGGAUCCUCCUGUUCCCAAGGCUACCCAUCAAGAGCUCACACUGCUACUGUUUCUCACAUAUCACUUGCUUGAUGGCCUAUGGGUAUCCUCAAAGCUCCUUGCUUCCUCUGGGAUCCACACUUCCUCAUGCGAAUCCAUGGAAAU